UACGGAGGGGUCUAGCGUUGUUCGGAAUUACUGGGCGUAAAGCGCACGUAGGCGGCUUUGUAAGUUAGAGGUGAAAGCCCGGGGCUCAACUCCGGAAUUGCCUUUGAUACUGAGGAGCUUGAGUUCGGGAGAGGUGAGUGGAACUGCGAGUGUAGAGGUGAAAUUCGUAGAUAUUCGCAAGAACACCAGUGGCGAAGGCGGCUCACUGGCCCGAUACUGACGCUGAGGCCCGAAAGCGUGGGGAGCAAACAGG
rnacentral:rRNA from 1 species